AGCCCUGCAGUUCCACCAGCCCCGCCGCUGCGCAACGCUGUAGCAUCCAACCAAAAUUUAAAUCACCUUUUGCCACUCUCAAGCAGUGCACUGGGGUACAGAACUCAUUUAGGUUUACCCACAUAGCGUGUCACCGACUCUCAGGGAAUCUGGCAUUUAAAUAGUUUAGUGACAUUAUCCAGGAAACUAGCAUACCGCCACGCAAAAAAAACACAUCUGGUUCGCCGAAGACUUGCGGAAGAGGGAAUCUUUAUCCUGACCUGUUAGUCACUUCAGACCCACUGAUGAAAUUGCUCUUUCCUCACUCAGACUAGGUAAAUUAAGGAUGGUGGAUAAAUACCGGCCAAUACCAGCCAUGGCCGCAACCCACGAAUAAUCAGAAGUCCAAAGCUCCACUAUCAUUCUGUGUAAGACAGUUGUCUUUUGCACGCUGGUUGAGUGCCCAGGUGGAUGGGGUUCUGACAGUGCCCUUGACCUGCAGCUGCACUCAAACUGUUGUUCCUUGUGGUGAUGGUAUCCACUCGUUUUUGAAUAUUCCAAGGGUGCAGCCUCGAAGAUGAGCACACUUUCGGGUUCUGGGGCUUCACGGCGUCACUGACUAAAGCAUUGCGGGAGAAAAUGGAGUAUCAGGAACAGCAGAACAGCUGUCGGAGGUUUUGGUACUCAGCAAAUCGCUCUCUUGGUGGGGAAGAGUUUGCUGCCGAUUCUCAAGUUAAACAACUCGAGAAAAAGCAAUGCAGCACACUUCAAUGCCUGUUUGUAAUUGUUUUGAAAUAAGUGGAACACACAUUUUCAGUCCUAAUGCUGAGAUGGUGUCUAGUCUCAAAGCCUUUUCAAGCUGUUUUUUUUUUAGCAGUUUUCUCAGCUUCUCCUUGGUGUGAAUUAUAUUGGCAAAAGAUGGUGAAUGGUGGAGAUCUCAGAAGGAAGCCAAGGAUUACCUACUCAGCACUUCUGACUGAACGUGGUCACAACUACUUCAGCUCCUGAGAAUGUGGAUGUCCUUAGAGAUGCCACUUCCUAUUAGCUAUUUAAUUAUCCACUGCCAAUCACAACUAGAUGGGGCAGGAUUUCAGAGUUUCAGCUAAUGACAAGAUCACUUGAGGGUUGCACAGCAGCAUAGCUGUUAGCAUAAUGCUUUGCAGCACUAGGUAUAAGAUCAGGUUUCAAUUCCUGCUACUGUCUACAAGGAGCUUCUACCUUCUCCCCAUGACUGUGUGGGUUUCACACGUUCCAAGGACAGAUGAGCUAGGGUUAGUAAGUUGUGGGCAUGCUAUGUUGGUGCCGGAAGCAGGACAACACUUGCAGGCUGCCUCCUUGAACUGUGUUGGUUGUUGACGUGAACAAUGCAUUUCACUGCAUAUUUCAAUAUACAUGUGACAAUUUGUAGUCCCUAAUAAAAGGUACGUAUGGCAAGAGUGUCAUCAGUAAAUAGAUUUUCUUGACAGUAAUGUACUGCGUCUUUAAAUGCAACAUGCAUCUUGGACUUCAAAAAGGAAAAUUAUUCAAAACAAGAUUUGUUUAUAGGCAAAAGACCAGAGGAGUUUCUUUGGAAACUUUUGGCUAACAUUCAACUUAUUGAUGCUAUUGUGCAUUUUGAGGCAAAAAGGAGUACAAGGAGAAAAAAGUGUUAUGAGCAGAACAACAUUCACAAGGUGGAUCACAGCAGAGUGAAACUGUAAUAUAAACCAGACAACUUUAAAUAAGUUAGGUUGGAAUCUUGCGAGUAGAAAUAAUCCCAUUAAUUCUAAUCAAUUUUUCUCUCAAAAUGCAACAGUGAAAUAGUAUCACUGUGCAAUCCAUCAAUUUCUAUGAAUCUAAUUAACAAGAUCACAAAGAACAUCUUCCCAAUAAACUGGCUUAUGGUGACACCAUGUGGACACAACUGCAAAUGCAGAGUACUGUGCAAACAAAAUCUCAUCUACAAUAACAAAUGUGAUUAAUAAUAUAAUCCAUCUUUAUACAGUGCUUUUAGAGUGCAAAAUGUCCCGAGGAAAUCCACAACAAUGCCAAUAAACCUAACAAGGCAUAUGAAGAGAGGUGAAUAAAGAGAGGUUAAGUGAGGGAGUUAUAAAGAGCUUGGACAAUUAAAGGCAUGACCAUGAACGGCAGAAAGAGAAACAAACGGUGAAAUCUAAGAAGUCAGAACAGGAUAGUAGAGAACCUUGGUUUUCAAGAGAUAUUGAGGCCCUGGUUAAGAGGGGGAAAAAAAGAAGUGCAUAGCAUGUAUAGGCAAGUAGGAACAAAUGAGGUGCUUAUGGAGUGUAAGAAAUGCAAGAGAACACUUUAAGAAAGAAAUCAGGAAGGCUAAAAGAGGGCAUGGAUUUGCUUUAGCAGACAAGGUGAAGGAGAAUCCUGAGGGAUUCUACAGAUAGGUUAAGUGCAGAAGGAUUGCAAGGGACAAUAUUGGUCCCCUGGAAGACCAGAAUGGCAAUCUGUUUGUGGAGUCAAAAUCGAUAGGGGAGAUCUUAAAAUUAAUUCUUUACAUCUGUAUUUACUCAAGAGACUGAUACAGAGUCUAUAGAAGUGAGGCAAAGUGGCAAUAACUUCGUGGACACUGUACAAAUUACAGAGGAGCAGGUGUUUGUUACCCUGAGGCAUAUUAGAGUGAAAAAUCCCCAGGGCCUGACAAGGUGUUCCCUCGGACUCUAAGGGAGGGAAGAGUGCAGAAUUUGACGGGAUCCUAGCAGAGAUAUUUAAAACAUCCUUAGCAACAAGAGAGGUACCAGAGGAUUGGAGGAUAGCCAAUGUUGUUCUGUUGUUUAAAAAAGGAAAUUAUAGGCCAGUGAGCCUGACAUCAGUUGUGGGAAAGUUAUUAGAGAAGGUAUUCUAACGGACCAGAUAUAAGUAUUUGGAGAGACAUGAAAUGAUUAAGGCUAGUCAGCAUAGCUUUGUGCAUGGUAGGUCAUAUCUAACUUUUCUGAGGAAGUUACCAGGAAAGAGGAUGAAGGCAAGGCAGUGGAUGUUCUCUACAUGGACUUUUAGUAAGGCAUUUGACAAGGUCCUGCAUGGGAAGCUUGUCAAGAAGGUUCAGUCACUUGGCAUUCAGGAUGAAGUAGUAAAUUGGAUUAGACACUGGCUUUGUGUGAGAAGCCAGACAGUAGUAGUAGUAGGGGUUUGCCUUUAAUGGAGGCCUGUGACUAGUGGUGUGCUGCAGGAAUCAGUGCAGGGUCCUUUGUUGCUUGUCAUCUAUAUCAAUGACCUAGAUGAUAAUGUGGUUAACUGGAUCAGCAAAUUUGCAGAUGACACCAAGAUUGGGGGUGCAGUAGACAAGUGAAGAAGACUAUGAUGGCUUGCAGAGGGAUUUGCAUCACUAGUAAAAUCGGGUGAAAAAUGGAAGGUGGAAUUUAAUGCAGGCAAGUGUGACGUUUUGUACUUUGGUAGGAUCAUCCAGGAUAGGCCUUAUGUAGUGAACGAAACAGCACUGAGGAGUGUAGUAAAACAAAGGGACCUGGGAAAGUGACGUCAAAGGUAGACUGGGUUGCAAAGAAAGAUUUUGGCACAUUGGCCUGUGUAAAUCAAUGUACUGAGUACAGGAGAUGGGGUGUUAAGUUAAAGUCGUAUAUGAUGUUGGUGAAGCCUAAUGUGGAGUAUGUAUUGUGUGCAGCUCUGGUCAGUUACCCACAAAAAAGAUGCAAAUAAGGUUGAAUGAGUACAGAGAAAAUUUACAAGAACGUUGCUGAGUUUGGACAGGAAAGAAUAAUAAGGGAAAGAUUAAACAGGUUAGGAUGUAGAAGAUUAAGAACAGACUUGAUAGCAUAUACAAAAUUAUGACGGAUACACACAGACACACGGUAAAUGCAAGCAGGUUUUUUUCGACUGAGGUUGGGUGGGACUACAACCAGAGGCCAUGGGUUAAGGGUGAAAGGUGAGAAGCUUAAGGGGAACAUGAAGGGAAAUCUCUUCACUCAGAGGGUUGUAAGAGUGUGAAAUGAGGUGCCAGUAGAAGUGGUGCAUGCGAGCUCGAUUUCAACAUUUAAGAAAAGUUUGCAUAGGUACG